rnacentral:rRNA from 1 species
CCUACGGGAGGCUGCAGUGGGGAAUAUUGCACAAUGGGCGCAAGCCUGAUGCAGCCAUGCCGCGUGUGUGAAGAAGGCCUUCGGGUUGUAAAGCACUUUCAGCGGGGAGGAAGGCGUUAAGGUUAAUAACCUUGGCGAUUGACGUUACCCGCAGAAGAAGCACCGGCUAACUCCGUGCCAGCAGCCGCGGUAAUACGGAGGGUGCAAGCGUUAAUCGGAAUUACUGGGCGUAAAGCGCACGCAGGCGGUCUGUCAAGUCGGAUGUGAAAUCCCCGGGCUCAACCUGGGAACUGCAUUCGAAACUGGCAGGCUAGAGUCUUGUAGAGGGGGGUAGAAUUCCAGGUGUAGCGGUGAAAUGCGUAGAGAUCUGGAGGAAUACCGGUGGCGAAGGCGGCCCCCUGGACAAAGACUGACGCUCAGGUGCGAAAGCGUGGGGAGCAAACAGGAUUAGAUACCCCAAUAGUC